GCCCUGCUAUUACUGCCUCUGAAAUGAGCAGAGCCAGGGUCCAGAGAGGCAAAGCCAUAUGCUACUGGGCACCAGCUAAGCAGCGGCACUGAUGUCUCAUCCCAAGGCCACCAGAUUCCACAGUAGAGACUUUGGACCCCAACAUCCCAUCAGGCUGUCAACCAGUGGGUACCGAUCAUGUGACUCCUGUAGCAGCUGAGCUUUGAGCUUGUCUGACCACACACCAUGGAUGUCUUGUGCAUUGGCUGCAUCCGGGAGUAGGAGCAGCAGCAGAUGGAACAAGAGGCUGAGCUAACACAGCUGGGUCUUAUGCUGUCCCUUCAUGGGCUGCCUGUCUCCCAGGGAGAGAGUGUAUGUGGAGUCCUAAGGCCAGAGUGUGUGCAAGAGCCCAGAAUCUCAAGAUUGUCUGCUUACUGCUGGCUGGGCAAGCUCUCAACGCUUAAGUCAGUCUGUGGACCCAGCUGACCCAGAAGUCCUGACGCUCUAUCUAAUAGCCACCCAAGGGCUGGGAUUGCAGGGUCUGACUCCGAUCUGAAGCUCACCAGGCUGGCCUCGGACUCACCGAGAUCUGCCUGCCUGCCUUCUGAAUGCUGGAAUUAGAGGCAUGCGCCACCGAAACUGAGCAAGAGCUGUGACUGAAAUACAGUGGGUACUCAGUAAAGCCUGGAGUGGAGCAGCCAUCUUAAGGCCAGGAGGUAACAAUCACAAACCCAAGAAGCAAGCACAAGGGAAAGGCAGACGGAAAGGAUUUAAAAAAGAAAUACAGCCAAGCAGGUGUUUCCCCUACCAGGGCGCAGGAAACCAAGGGUCUCCAGGACCACGUCCCUCCCUCCCCUCCGAGGAGGCCCCUGACCAGCUGACGGAACAGCCUGUGCCUGGCACACACAUUACACAGCACGGGGGUCAGAACCGCGAUGGCUGGGGGAGAACAAUAGAUGACCUUCUCUCUAACGCCCUGGAACAGAGAACCCCACACAGAUGCUGUUUGUUUGGUUUAAAUCAGUUACCUUGGUCAUGGCGUCUCUUCAUAGGACACACCCCAUCUCCUCCCUGACCUGGCUACACACCCCAUCUCUUCCCUGACCUGGCUGUGGCCAUUCCCUCUCAGACUCUCAAGUCAAAGGUGUGGUCGCCUGAGAGCCACACUGCUGGUACCCUGAAGACUGGCUUCUGCCCUAAGUCUCUCCUGACCCUGUUCCAUGCAUUUGAGACCUUGGCACACGGGGAACAGGAAGUGUGUGCAUCUCCCUCAAACAGUGACAGUGACAGUUUACAGCCACAGUCUGAAUCUAGGCUCCUGCUUGUUCCUGCCAGGGGCUCUGCUGCUGGGCACAACCUGGACAACUGGACAGGGCAGACCAAUAAGGAACUUUCCAAAUGCCCCUGAGUUCCCAAUCUUGAUGACAUACAUUCUCAGGCAUUUAAACACCCCUGAGUGUCUGUCCACCGUGGAGCUUCGUGACCUUACCACAUCCCUGCAUACACUCUGGGGCUCCCUGGCUUCUCUUCCCUGGCCCCAUCACCCAGGGUCUUCUCCAUUAGCCCUGACCAUUGACACAUCAUUUUCCUCGCCCCUGUGGCAGGGGGCUCCUGACUUCCUCCCACAUCAGCUUUGCCCUUUCUGCAGUUCUGCUCCACACCCCACAGGAAACAGGGUCUCCUUGGACCCAGCAACCUCCAGACAAGACUAGGGAAUGAUGGAGACGUGGGGAUCCCAAGACUGGAGACGUGUACUCCUUGGCUGUGCACACGGAGGCCAGGAGGACAGACACCCUUGUCUGCCAUUAGCCAG